rnacentral:rRNA from 1 species
GACGAACGCUGGCGGCGUGCUUAACACAUGCAAGUCGAACGGAAAGGCCCUGCUUUUGUGGGGUGCUCGAGUGGCGAACGGGUGAGUAACACGUGAGUAACCUGCCCUUGACUUUGGGAUAACUUCAGGAAACUGGGGCUAAUACCGGAUAGGAGCUCCUGCUGCAUGGUGGGGGUUGGAAAGUUUCGGCGGUUGGGGAUGGACUCGCGGCUUAUCAGCUUGUUGGUGGGGUAGUGGCUUACCAAGGCUUUGACGGGUAGCCGGCCCGAGAGGGUGACCGGCCACAUUGGGACUGCGAUACGGCCCAGACUCCUACGGGAGGCAGCAGUGGGGAAUAUUGCACAAUGGGCGGAAGCCUGAUGCAGCAACGCCGCGUGCGGGAUGACGGCCUUCGGGUUGUAAACCGCUUUCGCCUGUGACGAAGCGUGAGUGACGGUAAUGGGUAAAGAAGCACCGGCUAACUACGUG